rnacentral:rRNA from 1 species
UACGUAGGUGGCAAGCGUUGUCCGGAUUUACUGGGCGUAAAGAGUUCGUAGGUGGUUUGUUAAGUUUGGUGUUAAAGAUUGGGGCUCAACCCUGAAACUGCACUGAAUACUGGCAGGCUUGAGUGCCGGAGAGGAUAGCGGAAUUCCUGGUGUAGCGGUGAAAUGCGUAGAUAUCAGGAGGAACACCUGCGGUGUAGACGGCUAUCUGGACGGCCACUGACGCUGAGACACGAAAGCGUGGGUAGCAAACAGG